GCACCGUGCUGUGCAACGCGAUGCAGCACGGAACAUUAGCGCCGGACGGACGGGUGUCUACCGGCCGGCCCACGCACACCGACGGGCGGGUGCCUACUGGCCCCGCGCGGAGAGUGUCCGUACACGGGAGCAUAGAUGGCGCGUCGAGCGGCCAGAGUUUAUUAUAUAUCUAGGGAGCGCAGCCUGAAAACAAGUUCUAUGGGAAAAUUGCUUUAUUAUUUAAUACUUAUCGAAUAUUUAGCCAGUCUUGUACACUGCCCUACCACCACGAAAUCAAUAUUAACUAAUUAUUAUGCGCUUUGUUAUUUCGCGGAACGGCAACGCCGCAACAGCCUGUUGUUUGAACAUCCGCCCGACAACGGCACGCCAGAGCAAUUUUCUCAAAUAACGAGUCUAAUAGGGAUUUUACGCCCAAGCUGUGAGUCAGGAAGGAACUAGUGAUAGUGACGACCUUACACAUCACUUCUGAAGAUGCCCAGGCGACGAACGAGACAAGGUCCAGCAUGUAGCAGAUACGGAAAGGAAGCAAGAACCGACAAAGGGACGAGAUAGAAGUCGAGACCGUGAUACGCCAAAACGCGAAAGCAGGUUAGAAGGGAAGUUCAAUCCGUAAGUAAACCAUCUUCUGACACCCGGAACGGCAAAGGUGAGCGCUAAUGGCACCGUGCUGUGCAACGCGAUGCAGCACGGAACAUUAGCGCCGGACGGACGGGUGUCUACCGGCCGGCCCACGCACACCGACGGGCGGGUGCCUACUGGCCCCGCGCGGAGAGUGUCCGUACACGGGAGCAUAGAUGGCGCGUCGAGCGGCCAGAGUUUAUUAUAUAUCUAGGGAGCGCAGCCUGAAAACAAGUUCUAUGGGAAAAUUGCUUUAUUAUUUAAUACUUAUCGAAUAUUUAGCCAGUCUUGUACACUGCCCUACCACCACGAAAUCAAUAUUAACUAAUUAUUAUGCGCUUUGUUAUUUCGCGGAACGGCAACGCCGCAACAGCCUGUUGUUUGAACAUCCGCCCGACAACGGCACGCCAGAGCAAUUUCCCACCCACCCACUGCCCAAUACCACCUGUCCUACGUCCUUCCAGUCUCCUUCUAUCUGCCCUUCGGGUCGGUCUUUCAGCAUGUAGCAGAUACGGAAAGGAAGCAAGAACCGACAAAGGGACGAGAUAGAAGUCGAGACCGUGAUACGCCAAAACGCGAAAGCAGGUUAGAAGGGAAGUUCAAUCCGUAAGUAAACCAUCUUCUGACACCCGGAACGGCAAAGGUGAGCGCUAAUGGG
rnacentral:misc_RNA from 1 species